CGGCUGCGGUGCGGUCGGGGCUGAGGGGCUGCGCUGCUCAGCUCGAGCUCUGUGUGCUGGAGCUACGAAGUUCGUCAAGGGUCUGGAGAAUCUUGCGAGGAAAGAGGGAGGUGGGCUUGAUCAGCCCCGGGAAGAGGUGACUGAGAUGGGACCUCAUCAAUGUCUAUCAGUAACCAAAGGGAGGGUGUCAGAGGAUGGAUCAGGCUCUGCUCGGUAGUGUCACCCCGCAGGAAAGAGGGAAAGGGCAGAAACUGAUGCCCAGGAAGUUCCACCUGAACAUGAGGAAGAAUUCCUGUCCUGUGCAGUGACUGAGCACUGGAACAGGUUGCUCAGAGAGGGUGUGGAGUCUCCCUCACUGGAGAUAUUCCAGAAGCGUCUGGACAAAAUCCUGUUCUUCACCGCUGAGGUCGCUCCCGACCGACCGAUUCUGUGAUUCCGUGUCCCUGCAUGUGUGGGGGACAUGGGUCUCCACAGCCGCCCUGUGAGGGCAGAGAGCGGGGAGCCAUGGUGGGCACAGUGGGACAGGGGACAGUGACACCCUUGGCUGCCUCAGGGAACCCUGAGGUAAAACCUGCCCUGAUCGUGCCCAGGGAAGUUGUGGAUGCCCCAUCCCUAGAAGCGUUCAAGGCCAGCCUGGAUGGGGCUCUGAGCAACCUGGUCUAGUUGAAGUUGUCCCUGCCUGUUGCAAGAAGUUGGAACUGGAUGAUCUUCAAGACUUCCAACUCAAAUCGUUCUCUGCCUCUAUGAUCUUGUGAGGUGUAAAUUGUGUUGGAUCUGUUGUCUGAGGGGCUUGUCCCUCCACUAAAAUACUGGGAAAUGAUGAAGGUAAAAGAGAAAAUCACUGUCACAACUGCCUGUGUCUGCCUCCUCAGCGGGGAAAAGGUUUACAUGUCUUGUUAAUCUGUGCCACCCAUAUACUUAAGAGCUCAAUAACAAAUAUUGCCUAUUUGUACUCUUAUUUAUUACUAAUAUAUUGUCACAGUCACAGGUAUUUAUCAGGUGAUUGUGUCCUCUCCCUUCUUCAUUGUGCAAGGCCACAGCAGUCAGCAAAUUAACAGUUUGACUUAUAUUACACUGUAAAAAUUUCAAGCUGCUUUCAGAAAUCAUUAUUUUUCACCCAUGCUGUGGUGGCUGAAAUAUUCCUAAUGCAAGAAGUACCUCAAAGUGUGGAAGAUGGAAAUGUUUCAAAAAUAUGUGGGCCUGCCCAAAUAAAUGGCAUUACAGAACAGGGAAGGGGAAGCUGUACAAUGUCGGUCAGUGAGGGUUGACAAGAAGCAUCACUCACUGUCUACACUGAGAAUGAUUUUGGGCCAGGAAGUGGAGACGAACAAAGCAGACAUCUGUUUAAGGAUGGGAUGGAUGAGCCCUCAUGAUUUGGCUAUGUGGAACUUCAGAAAAAAUGUGUUUGCUGUGAGGUCAUCCCAUGCUGAUCACCAUGGAUUGAUACCAAAGGCUCCUUUCAUCCAGUACUCCCAUCAAUAACACAUCCUCAGCAAAUCUGCAGAUUCUGCAAAGCUGGGGCAUUGGCUGACACCCCAAAUGGCCUGGCUGCAAUCCAAACCAACCACGAUCCAAAGAGAAAUGCAAGUUUCUUCACCUGGGAAGAAUAACCAGUACAGGAUACCAGUACAGGGGAGGAGUGGACUGGCAGAGCACAGUCCUGCUGGAAAUGGGCUCCCAGGGGAUGCGUGCUGAAUCCAAGCCAGCAGUGCACUCUCAUCACAGAGCAGACAAAACACACACUGAGCACUACCCACAGGCCUGUUCUGCUCUCCUCUGCUCAAGUCUGGUGAGGCCAUAUUGAGAAUACAGCCCAGUUUUGGCAAAACUAGUACAAAAGGGAUGUGGAGAAACUGGAACUGGUCUACUGGAGGGAUGCCAAACUGGUUACCCAGAGAACAUGACCUACAGGGAGGGUGGAGGAAGCAGGGCUCAUCAGUCCAGCACAGAGGAAUCUGAGUGUGGUCUACAUGCAGCCUGUGACUGCUUGAAGAGAGUUACACAGGUAAUGGAGCUAAACUUUCUCAAUCAUGAUAAAUAAUGGAACAAAGGGGAAUGGCCAGAAAAUGCUGCUUCAAGGCUUAGACUGAAUAUUAAUAAAAAAUUCACCUGGAGGGUUGCAAUUGAAUACCCAGGGGAGCAGCUGAACCCCUUUUUAGGAAGUUGUCAAGUCUUUAAAUCCAUGGCUGAAUUGCUCCAGUGCUGGUAAAAGCCCAGCUUUGAGCACAAGGAUGGACUUCGCAACAAACACACCAGCCUGAAAAGUGCAACUGGGGCAAGACACUGCCUUUCACCCCAAUUCAUGCUCACCCUCCCUGCAGUCAACAAAACUCCCCAGAGCUGGGAGUUGUACUGAUGGUGGAAAAUCAGGAUUUGUGGGGGACAAACUGCUGACACAUACAGUUCACAGAAGAUAUGAGGAGCAGUGGACAACUGUGUUACAGGCGUCUGUCUGUAACACUCUAACAGUCCUGGAACCCAUUAUCAUACCUACCAGCAUCAUCUCUGGAAUGUGUCCAGGCCCUUCAGUUCUCUCUUAAUAACAAUAAAUAACAAUUCUCAUCCAGAACUAUGGAGGGGAGGUGCUGAACAAGGUGAUCUGAGCUCUCUCUCAGCCCCUGUGACUCCCUGUGUAACCUGAGACACGUUAAACUGUUUUUUGCAGCACAGAGUUACUUUUAAAACCACAGAUUAAAUUCACUGCUAUCAAAGAAAAUCCAUCUUCUUUGACUUUUCUUAACAUUUAUUACAUACUUAGAGUAAAUUUAUUGUGUCUGGCAUUUGUAAGAAGAGAAAUUUAACUUUCAGUGAGAAUAAAAAUAUAGUUCCCAAAGGCAACUGUGUGAAGAAUCAUAAAGCACAGCAAGGUUUGUUUAGGGACAGGACUCAUUUCUUCUCCUCCUGAGAGUGUGACCAGACAGGCUUACGCUUCUGAACAAAGGCUUCAAUGCCUUCCUGCCCAUCUCUCAAAGUCAAAUUAUCAACCAUGACCUUAGUAGUUAUUUUGUAAGCAGUGUCAAGGUCCUGGGUUAUCUGUCUGUAAAAGGUGGCCUUCCCCAAGGCCAGGACGGAUUUGCUGCUUUCACAUAUCUUCUGAGAGAUUUUCAUGGUCUCUUCUUCCAGCUUUUCUUCUGGUACCACCUUGCUGACCAGCCCGUGCAUUAACGCUUCGUGGGCAGAGAGAGGUUCACCUGUGAAAAGCAUCUCCAGUGCCACCUGAACAAGGAAAAAUAUUGUAUUAAGUCAACCCAACUCAGUGCUUUGCUGUGUUUGGGGAAUUUCAGCCUCCUCCUUCAAGUACAAGUUAUUCUUUUCACAAACGAUUUAGAUAUUUUGGUCUUUUAAACUGCCAAAAACCUGUUAAGAAGUCUCAGCAAAGAGCAGGACUGGGUCUAAAGCUGGUCUCUUCAAACCUGCCUGCUCAUUCCAGCUGUCCUAGUCUGACACGGCUGGGUUUCUAUCCAAAAGCUCACAACCUCUAGUGAUUGCUGUAAGAACUAAAAGAGAAGUGGAUCAUCUACAAAGUCAAAUGACUAAACUUGGUAUUUUAAGCUGGGCAUAUGUGCAGUUUUUGAAAACAUCUGUCCUGGUUUUAAGUUUAGUAUGAGUGGUUUUAAAUAUGGACUUUUUAUAGCCACAUUAUUUCAGUCUCCUGGUGCUUCUAGCCUCUGAUGCUUGAAGUUUGAGACUAAAAAAUUCCCCAAAUACUCAGUGACUAUUCAAUGCUAUGUAUCAAUAAAGUUUUCCAAGACUUCUGGAGCAACUAACCAAUGCCCAAAUCAUAAGAGCUGAUUAUCCUCAUUAGCAUCUUUGUUCUGGAGCUACAAACAAUGGCAAAUUCUUUUGUUAAAAGGUAAAAAUCACCAGUUCUGGGAACUGCAGGGAAUGUUCUUAUUGUUUUGAAAAGUGGCACAGAGAAAAGUAUUUCCCACACAUUUUAAAAAGGUAAUCCUACAGCCCAGAAAUACUAACUCAGAAACAGCUGCAACUGCACACGAGAGCAGACUUGGAAAAAUCCCCCAUGGACUCUGUUUGAACAGGAUGUCCCUGCAGAUGGGAAAUUUCAAGCUGAAGCUUUUAUCCAGCAAUGGGAUGUGUGCAGUUCAGUCACUGCAUCUCAGCAGAGCCCUGCUGGGCUUGGACCGUCUGCCUGCAUGAAUCCAACUGGCUUUACAGGUUGUACUAUUUUUUAUGCAGUGAGAGAUGUGCAGCCACAACCAGUAGGACAUAAAACAGGAAGACACUAUAGGAGGAUUUUAGAUGCUAUUUAAAGAAUCUUGAUCUACAGCCAGGCAGAUCCUGCUGGCAGCGAAAUGUCAUUGCCUGGCAAGAAUUGAUGCCUUAGUGGGAUUGUUAUCCUGAACUUGCAGGGGUUUCCUCCUCAGGGGAGAACAUCAUUGGCUAAAGCCCUGAGCUGUCUGUUGGAAAGGAAAGGGAUUGCUGAGCUGGUGGGCUGCUGGGACGAGCUCGUGCUGGUUGGAGUCACAUCAGUAGAAAGCUGCCUUUCCUAAACAAGAGUUCACCCUUUAUUAUUUUUCCCAGUCCAAAGAGUUAUGGAGAUGCCUUUUGAAAUAAAGUAUUUUGAAUGUUGCAGUGCAGGAAAAUAAAGUUCAGGCAAUGAAACUAAAACUCCUAACAUGGGAAACAACAUCAUGCAAAAUUAUGAAUAUCUGGAAAGGAAGUUUACCUUUCUUGGAAGAGAUCUGCCCAAGGCCACAGCUGGUGUGGAGCAGAACAGCCCAAUGUUUACUCCAGGAGUAGCAAACUGAGAUUUCUCACUUGCCACUGCGAUGUCACAGCUUGCCACGAGCUGGCAGCCGGCUGCUGUAGCCAAGCCGUUUACUUUGGCAAUCACUGGCACUGGAAGUUUCUGGAUUAAAGUCAUAACCUGCAUGCACAAAAGAGUGGUCAGUAUGGAAAUUCAGAAUGACACAAUCCUCUUUUGGAAGCCAUCAAAAGUACCUUCCUCUCUAUUUACCAAAAAACCCCAGACUGCUGGAUCUUGGCUCCUUUCUGAUGAAAGGAUGGUGAAGGCCUGGGGCUUUCACACAUGGCUUUUACAGCAUUCCUUAAAUAUGGGCUCAGCAAUGUUUCAGGGAUCAUUAGUACUGGAGGAACUACAACAAAAUGUUUCAAAGUACUCACUGUUGUCACAUGAGGAGGAUUAGGGGUCAAAUUCUAGCUCCACCACUAUCAAAGGGGAUUUUGCCAUUCUCUGCAAAGGCUCCAGGAUUCACUUUAACUUCCCCACCUCCCUGAAUUGUGUCUUAACAAGAACUUGGACAACCAGUGAGUCAGAUCUUACUUUCACAUUGUCUACUUGUUGUUUAAGCUGAUUCUGAACUUUUAACUAAAUAAAUGCUGGGAAAGAACAUUUGCUCACAAGUGAUGUGAAAGUGGUUAUCCCUAAACUUCUAGAAAAGACAUUGCCCAGAUACUCAGAGGCAAGGAACACUGGCUAAACUAAGGAACACACCCUGACUGUGUCCAUUGUUGGAUACAUGCACAUUGGCAUUCUAGCCCUUCUAAGUGCAUGCAGAGAAAUCCAGGGAAAACCUAAUUUCACCAGGACCAGGCAUUAAAAUAGCAGAACAGCAAAAAUCAAGGAAUGUGAAGGAAUGUGAAGGAAUGUGAAGGCAUCUGAAUCUGUACUUUAGCAAGCAGAUGACCAAUGGCAUCCCUCCUGAAACCAAUGCUUGCUCUUAACAGCAGGCAAUGGCAGAGACACUCAAGAAGAACUGCUUACCUCUGCACAUAAUUCAAAUACUUGGGAAUGAUGCUUCACAUCAUCUUCACUUGACAGUUCCUUUAAAUCAUGGCCGGAACAAAAUACAGGUCCUUCAGCUGCAAAGAAUUUCAGGAAAAGUCAGUCUGAAGUAAUAAAGAAAUCAGUGGUUGCAGCAUAUCAAUGUCCCAGCUAAAGAUAACGACCUUAUAAUCAUAAAAAGGACUAAUGAGACUGAUCUUUUGCUACAAAUGCAGAUCCUGUUCUGGCACCUGAACAGCUGAGUAGGAGAGCCCAUAACAUGAGGAUUCCUCUGCUGCUGUUCUGUGAUGAGACCCAGAGUACAACAUGAGAUCAAGGUGUGUCCAAAUGUCUGGAACAGGGCUAGAAAUAGCCCUGGCAAAUGAUCUGUAGACUUAGAUGGAAUUAGAACGUGAGUACUGUGGUGGAGGGCAAAAUGCACAUCUGAAUUUUCCAGCUUGAUCCAUUUUCUAGAACCAGAGGAAAAUCUGAAGAGAAAUCUGAUUUUCUCAGGGGAAUUUUAUAGAAACUUCUUAAGCUCAUAGACUGAUUUGAAAAGGAGAAAGGAACCUGUUUUUUUUUUUGAAUCUGGUUUUGAAUCUGGUUUUGACAUAACUCUGAAUAAUGGAAAUAGAACUGGACAAGACAUUUUGAAGAACUUUCUACAAUCCCAGUUUUGAGGAAUCUCACAGAACAGUUAAUGAAGUUGAGUAGUGCUCAAGCUCAAGUCUAGAAAGGACAGCCUUCAUCCCAAAACCUAACUGACAAACUAAACAUAUCCAGGUCUAAAUUUGAUCACCUGUGGAUUGGGAGCAUUAGUGGUGUUACAAAGAGGAAGUUCCACACCUGAGCCUCCUCCCAGAUCACCUGCAGCACCCAGUGCAUGAGGGGAAUGAGACCUCAGGGUUUCUAGGUCUUCCCUCCCAAGCACAUUUGGAGCUUUCCAAACAGCUCCACACUUUCCAGACUUUCAAUACAUAAUUUGAGGCCUGAUUCAGUGUGGAUCACAAGGUGGUGCAAUUUCAGUGAAACUACUGCUUCUUAUCUUACAGCUGUUAAUUUACUUGUUUGAUUUUGAAAGACUGUGAAAAUGGAGAAUUACUCAAAACAAUCUCUAGUGACUGUGAAUGUUCUUACAGCUCUUACCAGAAGGUGAAUGUUAUGGUGUAAAGGCACAGAGCACUCAGCAGCAGGAAUUCACUGUCUGUCCCACGAGCAGGUGCCAAUCCUCAGGGUCAGUGCUGUUCCACACAACCUUGCUGAGAAGUGUCAUGCUUGGUGUUGAUUGUUUGAUAUAGAUCUUUUGAUCACCAGCUUUUUCAUAUAAGCUGUGGCCAGACAAUAAAAGGCAAAGGUCAGUGCCACAUUAAUGACAGAGGGCAUGAAGUUCUUAGAAUUUAUUUUUAGUUCACCAAACCAUUCUAGUCCUGAGGUUUAGGUUAUUUAAAGCAAACACUGCUGUAUACCCAGCACAUGGUAUUUUCUCCCAUGUUUCCUCAGUUCCACAUGCUCAUGUCACUUCCAUGUGAACUACAGCAUAAUGCAAAGCUGUGUUGUAUUCUUUUAAUUUUUACACUGAAGGAUUUCAAAUGGAACCUAACAUAAUUAGAUUACAUGUAAUCUCUUCCCAUUUUGAUCCUAUUCUCAAGAGUGUUUGCAAAGGAGCUUACUUGAGUCUUAAAUGCACAACUUGAAAUCACUCUGACGGAGAUGAAUAAGAGCAGCACGCUCUUAGGAAAACAUCCUGAUGUGCAGGACAAAGCCUCAUGGCUUUAUUCAGUGAAAAAGGUGUCUCCAUGAGCAGUGUCUGCUUCAAAAUCCUCAACACACAAUUUUUUAAACUCCUGCACAAAACCUACAGCAAGUUGAUUCAGAGUCUUUCCUUAUCCAUUUGUCUCAUGAAUCAACAUGGACUCCUAUUCAUACCUGCUCGUGCCAGGGCUUCCACAGAGCUGUGUGCUUUCUAUUCAGGUGUCAGCCAUCGAGAUAAACUGCAGUUCAGAAGGGUUUUCAAACAGGCAUCCCCUUCCCGGGAGUACAUUAAAAGGGAUUAUGCACUGCCAGACAGCAAGUCUUGUCAGGUCAGGGCAAAACAACAUUUUAAGCCGAUUGGCUCAUAUAUCUCAAGGUAUGUGUGUCCUUGCACAAAUUCACUUUCCCCUCAACCCAGUAUUUAAGAAAAUCCACAUGUCAUGAUGUUGAUCGAUCUGAAGUGUGGUCAGAAUGAAGCCACUUAUUAUCCUGAGGUUACCAAAGGAGAAAUGUCUCCAGAUGUGAUAGUAAAUUACUGGAUUGUAAGGAAACUUUGAGGAAAACAGACUGUUAUUUGGUAGUUGAUGCCUCACCUUUCAGAAAGCUGUUCUUUGCAUAAAAAGGAUAAAGCAUGUUUACGUUUCAGAAGUAUUUGCUGAAAGUUUGGGAAGCUUCAUCCUGCUUUACAUUCUCAAGCUGGCUUUGUUUGCCAAAGGUGAGGGGUGCCUUUAUUAGCAACGGUGGCUGUGUGCAGGGACCUUGGCUUCCCUACAGGAUGAAACCAGGUACCUGAUGUGAACAUCAGCCUCAGCAAGAUCUGUGAGCACACCUUCCUCACCAGCCAGGAACCUGAGUAACCUCAUGUCCCUGUGCUUGAGCAGCCUGACCCUGGGAAAUGCAGCAGUGGCCCUUCCCUGGGGAAUGAACUCUGUUCCUUACGGGUGUGAAACAGCUUGAGAGAGCAUGCCCACCCUCUCGUUGGCUUGUUUCACUCUACGGUUGCCAUAUGGGCUUAGUUAGGGAAAAGAUAACUGCGACAGGACUUCCACUUCCCUGGCAAGCUAUUUCUGCAGUAAAGGCUUCGUAGGAAACCUUCACGCUGCUUUACCCCGAACAGGAGGCUGACCCAACACAGAUGGCUCAAGGCACAGGGGGAAGAAUGUGUUUAAAUGCAAAGCCCAACUUGCAUCCCCCACUUCACGUUGUGCUACAUAAAUUCUACAUGAAGCGGAGCUGGGAAAAGACUCUAAAUAUCACAUUGCUGGAAAAAAAUGAUUUUGAUCUUUCGCAAGGAGCUUUACCUGAAUGAACUGAAUAUGUUUCUGCUGCAUCAGUCAUUCACAUUUGUCUUUCUGCUGGUUUCAGCAGCAAAUGGAAAAGGUCAUAAAGAUUUAACUUUUGCGCUACAUUAAACAAGUAAUUACACCUUUUUCAGGAUCCACUAGCACAGCACAGAGUAUCGAAACGUUUUAUUACAGGCUCUUGUUUUCACUUGCUUGUGACUUCAUGAAAAUGAUUCCCUUUGAGACUUUUAGAUUUGUUGGUGUCUAAGAAAUUAUUAUUUCUGUUAACUUUGAGUUGCUUUUGACAUUCUGGUGGUUAUGAGUGAGUGAUAAUAAACUUUAAUAGUGAUUGUGCUCUGAAAGCUGACUAUAAAUACUGUCAUGAGAUUCCUGGUUCCUUGUCUUACUGUAACUCUACAUCAGAUCUGCACUUUACAAGAAUGUAUCCUUCAGUGACUCUCCUGGAAAAUCACAGUAAAGCAUGCAAAAGAUGAAGCUGACAUUUUGUUUUGUUGUGCAUCAUUGCCAGUAAGACCUAAUCUUCUGUCUUAUCUCUUUUUCUUCCUCUGUUUUAUGUUCUACUUUUCCUUGAUUUGAAAGCUGUAUGAUUUGAUUACAGUUUUUCCCUCUUUUUCACCAAAUCCCUUUGCCUUCUGCAGUGGGAGCAGGAUGAAAUCCUGUUAACAAGAAUUUAAAACUGAGGUUCAGGCAAAUAUCCCAAUUCAUGUUUUAAAGCCAAUCCUAUGCAUCAGUUUAGAUACAGCCACACAUCUUCUUCAGCCAGGCUUUCUGAGUUUUGCAUUUGCUGUGCACAGCCAAUUGUGCACUGUCUAUGUACUUGAUGUAGAAAAGGAUCUCUGGGAAGUUCUACAACAUAGGACAAACAGGUAAGUGACAUGUUUUUGGUG